AAUCUUAUAGUUUUUAAAAUGUUAAAUUGCAAGUUUAAUGAUGAUUUAUAAUCUAAGAUUU
rnacentral:tRNA from 1 species